AACUCUACAUUAAAAAGAUAUAAGAUAGAAGUUCCCUAUAAUACCUGCUAAACACACACCUGUAAGGAAAGAAUGAAAUUAAUUUGAGAGUGAGAUGACAUGAGGGAAUAUAUUUUUGAAAGCCAAGUUCAUGUAAUCAAUUAUAAUCAUUAUAACUAUAACUGCUAUAUUAUGAUAUAACUAUUGGUGUUGCAUAUAUUCAAAAAACACCACUUUUCUUAUAUUGGUGUUGCAUAUAUUUAAAACACCACUCCUUUUUAUAAUGCACCCAUAUUAAGUAGUGAAUCAAGGUUGCAGGGAUUUUGUGAACUCUGCUUCACCUAACUUUUCAGAUGAAGGAGGGGGGCCAAGAAUGAGUGGAUGAGAACAUGGGCUAGUGUUGAUUUGUUGGCAUAUGACUCCAAUUGAGUCUGAAGAGUUGGUUAACUUCUUUAGAGAUUACUGUUUGCCAAGAGAUAAGGACUGUCAAUAUAGAUUGAUGAUUGGAGCUAAUUGGGGCCUCCCAUUGCUUUCAAUGGGACGAAAAUUGUAUAAAAACCCUGGGCCGAUCACACUGAGACCACCACAAUCAAGCUGGGCAGAGCUAUGUGGUCCAUCCUUUGCAGAUCUCUACAGAACAGUCCUUCUCUUUUGUUCACGCUACUCUUCCUUAUAAUAGGAGAACUAAAUCUAUUGGUCUUUUCGCAAUCAAAGCUUAGGAGAAACAUGAAGCAUUUUUUAAGAGGAGGACAGCGCCCGUUCCAGAGGAAAAUACUACUGCACAAAACCCUUCUACUCCAGGACGGUGCUCGUGAAGGCGUUGCCCAGCCGGAGGUCAUCGGAGGAGGAGGCCCGAGUCAUCGGCUCAACAGUACAACAGUAUAGUGAGGGUUUCGUAGAGUAGGUUCCUGUAGCGGGAUGUCUCUUUUAGUGAGGCAAGCGCUCGCCUUGUGUGGCAAACUUUUAUUUUGUUUUCUUUAUUAAAUCCGGGGCCAGGAUUACCAUAGUUGGUACCCUGGUGUCGGGGCCUGUGUUUAUUAAAUCUGCGUGCCUGUGUGGUGUCAACAACCACUGCUCUGUGUCUGACUCUUUAUUUUCAGCGACGACCCACACAGGUAACAUCCUCUGUUUCAGCACCCUACACCUAAUAUAAGAUAAUUCAAGAAAACAUAUUCAAUAUAAGCAUUUAGUGAACAUUAGCCACUAAUUAACAUGACAAAAACAACGCAACUACGCAAUUUCAAAUAUUUGUUUAUGACGAAAGUAUUGGCACCUCUGAUUUAGUAUUUCGUGAGUCCUCCUUUUGCUUUUAUUAUGGCUUUCAGGCGUUUAUGAUCAUUCUUAACCAGUAUCUUAUAUCUUGUUGGUGAAAUCUAGGCUCAUUCUGUCUUGCAUAUUUCCUUCAGCUCAGCUUAAUCCAGUUCCUCACCUCUACACCCACAUAUGUCUAUAAUACUGGUUCCUUUUUAUACCAUUCUGAGUGUCAAUCAAAUUGUAGGAAUACUUGCUACAGAAUUAUGGGAGUCAUAGUUCAUAUUCCCUGUCUGUUCUCUAUGGGACAAAGGUUGGGGGUUGUAGUUUUUUAACUUUCUUGCCUGGUCUCUGUUUCUGUGUUUUUCCUUGUAUGAAGACAUUUUACCAGGAACCCCAUACCCCUGAUACUCAGUCUUCACAUUCUCAGUUCUAUCUUCCUCACUAUCUA